GUUGUACCACUAUCAGCUUGGCCAUGGGAGAACUUGGGGGUUUUCAAGUACUUGCUAUGUGGUCCUUUAGCAGCAAAAGUUUUACAUUCAUGGAUCUAUGAGGGUACCAUCAAGGAUCCCUGGUGCCUUCAUGUACUCCUCAUCUGUGCUUUGAGAGGAUUAAUCCAUCAGCUAUGGAGUUCUUACAGUAGCAUGCUUUUC